AACACUUUAUAAAUGUAGCCGUCUUUCCCGCUGUUAAAUUAUAUGCUACAUUCAUAUUAAUGCUGCGGCAAAUUCAAACGCACGCUCUUUCUCUCUCUCUGUCUGUCUCUGGUUUUCUAGCUCUGUCUAGUAGGUGACCUGUUGUCAGUGCGUCGAGAGAGACCAUAUAAAUUUUAUAAUGAAGCAGCAGAGCGGGAAUCAAGACUUCGUCGGGACAGCAUUCUCGCACGGAGAAGUGCAAUUACACAACAGAGGCGCUUGUUGGUUUUCAGUUAUGGUAAAUAAUGUUGAUCACUCACAGAAUCAGACACUACCGCUUUUUAUACCACACUUCCCGUUAGGAAUUAUGAUAUUGUUUGGUUCGUUGGUCCGUUAACUGGGUCGGAUUGCUUUCACAUCUCAAGCGAACCGCUCCAGAGUUCGUUUGAAAGCUUACCGAGACCACCCUUUGGUGCACACCUGAGUGUGAAAGCACCCUAAGUUUAGCUUCAAAGGGCAUCUUCAACAACAGUAUUCUAUAAAAAUUAAGACUAUAUUUUUUGCAUUCCGAUUCUGACAUACAAAGGCACAACAAAACAUUUUCCUUCUUCUUCUUGUUACCGCUAUAUUUCUGCCAUCACUAUGCAUUCGCAGCUGCAAGUGACGUAACUGUGACGUCUGCUCCAAAUUGGACUAUAGGGCUGUGAAGAACAAGCUUUGGGCUUGUUGAUGGAGUCGAUCAACUCCAUCUGUGUUUUGAUCAUUGUUCUGAAUCUCAUCCGGAUGUUGAACAAAAAUGCCAAUUUUCUCAGCUUUUUGUUUAAAAUGUUGCCUUUUUUUUAUACGAAACUUACCCACUCAUUUCUUUCACAGAAAUCUGCAGUGAGCAUUUAAUCAAUAGAUACACGCCGUUAUGUGUAUUACAUUUUUGUCUAUCACAGUGUAGACUUUACAAUAAAUUUUAUUGUUUUUAUCCUGAGCUAAUGAUAUUUAUAAGCCGCCUUAAAAGAUACCAUCUUUUGUUCAAACUCUAAGGCAGUAUCACGUGUCUUUCACUGUGAAUACAAUCCCAUAAUGCAGCGCAAAAUCCUCAGUGAAACAAUCCAUAUAAUUCUGAAAAUUAUAAAACAAAAUAGUUUCAUUUUAAAAAUAGUUUAAAUAAAAGUACUCACAUUUAUUUAUUUAUUGUUUUCACCCUUAAUAAUAUUAUAUCAUCAUGAAGGGAUUCAUUAACUCUUUCAGCUCGUUUUCCUCCCUCAUAAUCACAAUCUCAAAUAAACACACAAAUGACACACAUUCUAUAAAUAGAUGUCCAGCUGUGGCGUCCUUCACAAGUUUGCCUAAUAUUGUCCAAAACUUCUUUUGAUUUUGGACAAAGGGGUCUAUAAUUCCCAAUGCAUUUUCUCCUCUAACAUUUAGUGUUUUUCAAGAAUAAUUUCUCUUUCCUCCCCUUAAAACAUUUUUUCAAAACAACAAAAAAGAACAGCAGAGAAAACUUGGAGGUAGAAAAAAAAUAAACUAAAAAAAACAUAAUAAUAGUACAAUCAUAAACAUACAAAAUGAAUAAAAAAUAAACAAAAUAAUAACAAUAAUAAUAAUAAUAAAAAUAAUAAUUAAACAAAGCUCAACUUCCCUCAUUCUUCUCUCUGCCAUCCUUCUUUGGGGGUUUAAAUAAUCAAUAACCUAAGAUUAAUACAUUUCUCUAAAUUAAACAUUUUUAUUGAAAUAAUUUAAUUCUUUUAAAUAAAUAAAUAAACUCCAAAAAUUCAAAGAGGGAAUUUAAACUCUUUAACCCUUAUUAAAUUAAAUAGUUCAUUCCACUUUUUCCCUCUUCAUCCGUAAUAAUCAUAAAAACCACUAAGUUCUCUCCUUCGUCUCCUCUUCAUCCUUCUUUAUUAAUUAUUAAGAUUAAUUUGAUUGACUAUUGACCUUAUUCCUGACUAGCGUUUCGAAUUAUGGGUUCCACUUCCGGUUUGGGGAACUUCCAUUCAAAAAGACUGAAACUAAUCGUUUCAAAUUAUAAUCAUAAGGUUGUCCUACAAAUGAGCUGUCAGUUUUUCUUUCAUGUUUUAUUUUCAGACAUCAUGAGAAUUACGUAACGCUUGGUAUUUUAACGUAACAUGUUGUAACAAGAAUAUCUAUGGCAAGAGCUCUUUUCAGUUUUCAGCAGAUGCUUUCUAUCCUCGUGAUUAUUUUCUUUUGUCCCUUUGCAUUCCACUGUAACAGUAUGAAAAAGGACAACAUAUGCUGCACAUUUGUGGUCUGUUCUCCCGAUAUAAUUUACGAUAUAUCCAUCCCAUUAGUAAUUCACUGGAAUGCACGAAGAAUCUCUCGUUUUUCUCCUCAAAACCUCAAAAGUCUCUUUCCAGGUUUGUUUUCACAGGUACAUACAAUUUAUUAAAAUGGAAAUCACUUUGAAAUAGUAUCACGCAAUGCUGAAGUUCAUGAACAUAUUUAUUAAGGCAACGUAUAUUACAUAACGCAGAUAUAUAUAUCACUAUAGUUAUGUUCAACCCGUCCGUUAUUGCUGUGGAAAGAAUCACGCUUUUUCAUGGCCUUUUGAAAGUAAAUGGACUUUUAAAAGUGUAAAAGCAUCAACAAGGUAAUGUUCGUUGGUUGAAGGGUGAGUAGAAUAAUGUCAUCUCAUUGUACCCAGUUUAAAAAUAAAAUGCAUUACUACGUUCAUAGAGCAAGUAUAUCACUGACUGUCUACAGCUUAACGGAAGUUACUCCCAUAAUUCGCGCAAAGCGUCAUGGGGCGUAGGAAUAAGGUGGAUAUAUUUUCUAAUUGAUCAGUUUUUUGCAGAUGAUAAACUCAAAAACAUUCCAUAGAAUUUUACUGACAGAAUUCAAACUCCAACUGAAACUUCAACUGUCAAAAAAUUCAAACAUAAACACACACACACACACACACACACACACACACACACACCUAACACACCUUGUCACUUCAGAGUCAUCUGCUCUCUGGUGUCAAGAAACUGUCUUUCUACUGUCUCCAUCAGUUUAUAGUUGUGAUGUCCACCAUAUGAUGCAUGAUAGAAACACAAGACGAGAUGAAUAUACAAACUCUUGUCAGACUUCACUCAACAGAAGCUCGCUAAGCAUACAGACAAAACCAAACAAACCCAGAGCAUGGAUCGAAAACAGACCUCAAUAAUAGAUCAAAGAUGUCUGCUGUGCUGUUAUACAACAAUAGUGAAG